GGGUCAGUAGGUUGGUCGUGCCACCGGUACGUACUGGUCUCGCUGAUUCCUCCUUCCUGAAGAACCGUAAUGCCAUUAAUUUGGUGUUGCGGGGAAACAGGACUGUUACUUUGAAAAAAUUAGAGUGUUUAAAGCAAUCUAACGCUUGAAUACAUUAGCAUGGAAUAAUGAAAUAGGACGACCGAUCCUAUUUUGUUGGUUUCUAGGAUUGACGUA
rnacentral:rRNA from 1 species